AGAGUUUGAUCCUGGCUCAGGACGAACGCUGGCGGCGUGCCUAAUACAUGCAAGUCGAGCGGGGCUUUGCGGGAGCUUGCUUCUGCGAAAGCCCAGCGGCGGACGGGUGAGUAACACGUAGGCAACCUGCCCGCAAGACCGGGAUAACAUAGGGAAACUUAUGCUAAUACCGGAUAGGGUUUUCUCUCGCAUGAGAGGGAACGGAAAGGUGGCGCAAGCUACCACUUGCGGAUGGGCCUGCGGCGCAUUAGCUAGUUGGUGAGGUAACGGCUCACCAAGGCGACGAUGCGUAGCCGACCUGAGAGGGUGACCGGCCACACUGGGACUGAGACACGGCCCAGACUCCUACGGGAGGCAGCAGUAGGGAAUUUUCCACAAUGGGCGAAAGCCUGAUGGAGCAACGCCGCGUGAGUGAUGAAGGCCUUCGGGUCGUAAAGCUCUGUUAUUAGGGACGAACGUCUUCUAUGUGAAUAAUGUGGGAGAGUGACGGUACCUAAGGAGGAAGCCACGGCUAACUACGUGCCAGCAGCCGCGGUAAUACGUAGGUGGCAAGCGUUGUCCGGAAUUAUUGGGCGUAAAGCGCGCGUAGGUGGGAUCAUAAGUCUUACGUAAAAGUGCGGGGCUCAACCCCGUAAAGCGUGAGAAACUGUGAUUCUUGAGUGCAGGAGAGGAAAGCGGAAUUCCCAGUGUAGCGGUGAAAUGCGUAGAUAUUGGGAGGAACACCAGUGGCGAAGGCGGCUUUCUGGACUGUGUCUGACACUGAGGCGCGAAAGCUAGGGGAGCGAACGGGAUUAGAUACC
rnacentral:rRNA from 1 species